ensembl:lncRNA
GUCUGUCUUCCUUGGCCUGGAAAGGGAGCAGAGGAGAGAAGGAGGGCAGCUGGCGAGCUAGCCCACUGAGAGGGAGGCCAGUGUGGGCUGGGGGAUGUUCCAGAAACCCGCCCCAAGGAACGUGCUUGUAUUUGGGAGAAUGUGCCCUGUUCUGGAGUCAGGGGCUGCUCUGGAGUCCUGGCUCUGCAGCUUCCCAAACAGGGGUUUUGUGACGCUCCCUUAGGAAACUGGAUGUGGAGAUGCUUCGUAAAUUACAAAGACUGUGCACGUGUAACAGGUCAUAGAAUUGAUGGUGAUUCUUUACAACAGGUUUUCUGGCCAAGCACAAGUGCUCUUGGCCCUCUGAGCCUCAGUUUCUGCAUCUGUGGAACAGGCCAAGCUCUGCCUGCUGUACAGGUUAUUGAGGAUCAACUGGGAUGGCAUAUAUUACACCAUUGUGUGUUCCCCAGAUGGAAGGACUAGCUGUUUCCCAUUAACAAGUAAUUGGGAGGUAACCUGAUUCAGCUUGGACAGAAAAAGCUACCCCUGAGCUGAGGCAUUUUGCUCCUUCCCUUUUGAGAUAGAGAAGAACAAAGAAGAAAACAGAAGGUGAGACAGAGAGAAAAUCUAUUGCUCUGUAGUCCCAGCAUCCCCAAGCAAAGGCACAGACACAGGUGACAAAAGUACUGGGCACUUCUGGGACAUCAAGAAGCUUGUUCCAGGCAGAAGGAUCUCAACAGGAAACUCAUGAUCACAUAGGAGGAGUCCUGAUGGUUUUUGAUGCCAAACCCGCCUGAAGUCACAGAACUGGAGUGUAGGCUGUGUUCAAGCUAGAAGAGGCAUCCCUCCUCAAAUCCAGAGAGGCCAGACAAGCAGCUUCCGCUGCUGUCUGCUACCAGAUGGGUCACCCUCUAUCUCUUAGACUUGAGACGACCCCUGCCCAGCACAUCACCUCUCCACCCAGAGCUGUUCCUGAUAUUUAUUAGGCAGGAUGGAAUUUCAUUUUAUACAUAGCAAAGAAAUAAGGUGUUCUUCUAAGGUGUUCUUCUAAGUUCUUUAUGACUGUCAACUCAUUUAAUCCACAACAGUCCAAUCAAUCCCAUUUUACAGGUGAGAAAACUGAGGCCCAGGGAGUUUACACAGCUGGUGAAUGGUGGAGCUGGGAUUCUAGCCCUGGCAAUCUGGCUCCUGAAUGAAGGCAAGGCAAUGAUCCUCCAAACAUUGGAGGAAUGGCCAGGUCAGGCUGCAGAUCUGACCCGUGGUAGGAGGGACAGAAGCUGUCCUCUAGAGGCCCUCAGCAAGCCUGGGGGUAGGUGCAGGGUUCAGGGGAGUGUGGAGCCUGUGUUGACCUUGAUUCCCUGGCUAGCAUGGAGGAGCCCCUGCGAAGGCUAUGGGGGCCUCAUGGUCUGAUAAGCCUGGGCCCACCUGGAGCAGUGAAGAGGUAGAGGGCCCCAUGGGAAGCAUCCAUUGCCUGGGCCUUUACCUGGGACCACUGGGCAUCUGGACAAGAGAAAACAAAGGCAUGAUAUGCCAAGUGUUCCCUCUGUCCUUUCUGGCUUCUCUAAGCCCCUCUGGUUCACCAUGCUGCCUCCCCACUCCCUAGGACCCUGACACACUUAAUUUCCUUUGCCAGGAUUUUUCUUUCCUCCCCCAACAUCCUCCUCCCUCACCCUUCUGCCCCACCAUUUCCAACCCAUCUUUCCCAUCUCAACUUGAGCAUCACUUUCUGGGGUGUGGCUCUCAGUCCCCAGGCAAUAUUGGCUUCUCCAGUUGUAGAUUUUCAGAGUGUCCAGAACAUUCACUUUGAAGCUCUUUAGUCUCACCUCUAAUUAAACAAUUCAUUGUGCAGUUUUAUUGCAUUAUUGACCUGUACAUAUUUAGGGCCUAAAACGUGAUAAGUUUUGAAAUAUAUUAAAAGUAAUGGCAAAAACCGCAAUUACUUUUGCACCAAUCAAAUAUACUCACUCAUUAAAACAUCACCACAGUCAAGAUAAUGAACAUAUUUAUCUUCCCUAAAAGGUUAGCUCAUGACUCCUUGUAAUCCCUCCCUCCCUCCCACCAACCCUCUCCACCCUAGAUCUAGUCAACUGAUCUAAUUUCUGGUUGGCAUUUUCUAGAAUUUUAUACAACUAAAAUAUUGUAUGAUAUAUGCACUUUUUGGCUUCUUUCACUCAACAUAAUUAUUUUGAGAUUCAUUCAUACUGUUGUGUGUGUCAGUAGUUCAUUUUCAUUGCAGAGUAGUAUUUCAUUCUCUGGAUACAGCACAAUUUUUGUAUCUGUUCACUGUUGAUGGAUAUCUGGGUUGAGUCCAGCUUUUGGUGAUUAGAGAUAAAGCUGCAAUAAUUAUCUGUGUAUAAAUCUUUGUAUGGUUAUAUGUUCUGAUUUUUCUUGAGUAAAUAACCUUGGAGUAAAA